rnacentral:rRNA from 1 species
UACGUAGGGUGCAGGCGUUAAUCGGAAUUACUGGGCGUAAAGCGUGCGCAGGCGGUUUCUUAAGUCAGAUGUGAAAGCCCCGGGCUUAACCUGGGAAUUGCGUUUGAAACUGGGAGACUUGAGUGUGGCAGAGGGGGGUGGAAUUCCACGUGUAGCAGUGAAAUGCGUAGAUAUGUGGAGGAACACCGAUGGCGAAGGCAGCCCCCUGGGCUAACACUGACGCUCAUGCACGAAAGCGUGGGGAGCAAACAGG